rnacentral:tRNA from 2 species
GUUUAAGUAGCAAAAGGGUUAAUGCAUAAGAUUUAGGAUUUUACAGUGAAGGUUCAAUUCUUUCCUUAAAUU